CCUACGGGCGACAGCAGUGAGGAAUAUUGGUCAAUGGACGAGAGUCUGAACCAGCCAAGUAGCGUGAAGGAUGACUGCCCUAUGGGUUGUAAACUUCUUUUAUAUGGGAAUAAAAUGUUCCACGUGUGGGAGUUUGUAUGUACCAUAUGAAUAAGGAUCGGCUAACACCGUGCAAGCAGCCGCGGUAAUACGGAGGGUCCGAGCGUUAUCCGGAUUUAUUGGGUUUAAGGGGAGCGUAGGUGGAUUGUUAAGUCAGUUGUGAAAGUUUGCGGUUCAACCGUAAAAUUGCAGUUGAAACUGGCAGUCUGGAGUAUAGUAGAGGUGGGCGGAAUUCGUGGUGUAGCGGUGAAAUGCUUAGAUAUCACGAAGAACUCCGAUUGCGAAGGCAGUUCACUGGACUGCAACUGACACUGAGGCUCGAAAGUGUGGGUAUCAAACAGGAUUAGAUACCCCUGUAGUC
rnacentral:rRNA from 1 species